rnacentral:rRNA from 1 species
ACUCAAAGGAAUAGACGGGGGCCCGCACAAGCGGAGGAACAUGUGGUUUAAUUCGAUGAUACGCGAGGAACCUUACCUGGGCUUAAAUGUGCCCUGACCGCCGGAGAAAUCUGGCUUUCCGCAAGGACAGGGUACAAGGUGCUGCAUGGUUGUCGUCAGCUCGUGCCGUGAGGUGUCGGGUUAAGUCCCAUAACGAGCGCAACCCCUACUGCCAGUUGCUAACAGGUCAAGCUGAGGACUCUGGCGGGACUGCCACCGUAAGGUGCGAGGAAGGCGGGGAUGACGUCAAAUCAGCACGGCCCUUAUGUCCAGGGCUACACACGUGUUACAAUGGCCGAUACAAAGGGCAGCUACCGGGCGACCGGAUGCCAAUCCCAAAAGUCGGUCUCAGUUCGGAUCGGAGUCUGCAACCCGACUCCGUGAAGCUGGAUUCGCUAGUAAUCGCGCAUCAGCCAUGGCGCGGUGAAUACGUUCCCGGGCCUUGUACACACCGCCCGU